UACGUAGGGGGCUAGCGUUGUCCGGAAUCAUUGGGCGUAAAGCGCGCGUAGGCGGCCCGGUAAGUCCGUUGUGAAAGUCAAAGGCUCAACCUUUGAAAGCCGAUGGAUACUGCCGGGCUGGAGUCCGGAAGAGGCGAGUGGAAUUCCUGGUGUAGCGGUGAAAUGCGCAGAUAUCAGGAAGAACACCCGUGGCGAAGGCGGCUCUCUGGGACGGUACUGACGCUGAGACGCGAAAGCGUGGGGAGCGAACAGG
rnacentral:rRNA from 1 species